UAUAAAAUGCCUGAAAAAGGAUUAUUCUGAUAGAAUAAAUUAUGUAAUUAAAAUUACUUUUAUAA
rnacentral:tRNA from 3 species